UCCGUGCCAGCAGCCGCGGUAAUACGGAGGGUGCGAGCGUUAAUCGGAAUUACUGGGCGUAAAGCGCAUGCAGGUGGUUUGUUAAGUCAGAUGUGAAAGCCCGGGGCGUCAACCUCGGAAUUGCAUUUGUAAACUGGCAGACUAGAGUACUGUAGAGGGGGGUAGGAAUUUCAGGUGUAGCGGUGAAAUAGCGUAGAGAUCUGAAGGAAUACCGGUGGCGAAGGCGGCCCCCUCGGACAGAUACUGACACUCAGACUGCGAAAGCGUGGGGAGCAAACAGGAUUAGAUACCCUGGUAG
rnacentral:rRNA from 1 species